rnacentral:rRNA from 1 species
UACGGGGUGUGCAAGCGUUGUUCGGAAUCAUUGGGCGUAAAGAGCGUGUAGGCGGUUGGACAAGUCAGAUGUGAAAGCCCUGGGCUCAACCCAGGAAGUGCAUUUGAAACUGUUCAGCUAGAGUAAGGGAGAGGAAAGUGGAAUUCCUGGUGUAGAGGUGAAAUUCGUAGAUAUCAGGAGGAACACCGGUGGCGAAGGCGACUUUCUGGCCCUAUACUGACGCGGAGACGCGAGAGCGGGGGUAGCAAACAGGAGGCGAUAACCGUGUAGUCC